rnacentral:rRNA from 1 species
GACGAACGCUGGCGGCGUGCUUAACACAUGCAAGUCGAACGGUGAAAGCGGAGCUUGCUCCGCUGGAUCAGUGGCGGACGGGUGAGUAACACGUGGGCAACCUGCCCCUCACUUCGGGAUAACUCCGGGAAACCGGGGCUAAUACCGGAUAUGACCUCCUUGGGCAUCCUUGGAGGUGGAAAGUUUUUCGGUGAGGGAUGGGCCCGCGGCCUAUCAGCUUGUUGGUGAGGUAGUGGCUCACCAAGGCGACGACGGGUAGCCGGCCUGAGAGGGCGACCGGCCACACUGGGACUGAGACACGGCCCAGACUCCUACGGGAGGCAGCAGUGGGGAAUAUUGCGCAAUGGGCGAAAGCCUGACGCAGCAACGCCGCGUGCGGGAUGACGGCCUUCGGGUUGUAAACCGCUUCCAGCAGGGAAGAAGCCGCAAGGUGACGGUACCUGCAGAAGAAGCACCGGCUAACUACGUGCCAGCCGCCGCGGUAA